CUCAUGAAAUACAUUAAUAUGCCUUUUUCAGAAUAUAUUUCACCAAAUUUAAGAAGUCCCUGACAUCAAAACAUUGCUUGUUUUGUUCCUGGACUCUUCAGUGAUGAUGAGCAGAGUCUGAGUGAACCUCCUGUCAGACAAUCACUAUUGCACACCAAAUGCUCUUACUCAGCAGAUGGGGACAGCUACCAUCACCCAAUUUUCACCCAAAAGUGGUUGCGCUAUUCGCCAGACCGGGCAGGAGGGACUGGACGACAACUUAUGCAGGCAUCAGAUGACAAUGAAGUGUAAAUAAAGAGUAGAGAGGCUAAUAAACAUAAAUUUGAUUUUAAA